AAGUCGUAACAAGGUUUCCGUAGGUGAACCUGCGGAAGGAUCAUUAACAAUUUUUACUUGGCUUUAGAAACCGACGCAAGUUGGAGACUAGGGUCAUUUUACACACCUGUAAACUGUACUAUCGCUUCUGUCGUAAUGUUAGUGUGGCAACAUGUUAGCAUGAAAGCAGAAGCAGUCUUUGUUGGUUUAGUAUGCGCAAGUGUGCUAGACUAGCUUUGACACCUUAACCUUCACCUUUUGUGAUUAAUGUGAAUAGUGUUGGAUUUGGGAUAAUGCGGCAAAAUAUAACUUUUAACAAUGGAUCUCUAGGCUCUU
rnacentral:misc_RNA from 1 species